rnacentral:rRNA from 1 species
AAUCUUCCACAAUGGGCGAAAGCCUGAUGGAGCGACGCCGCGUGAGGGAUGAAGGCCUUAGGGUUGUAAACCUCUAAAAGAGGGACGAUAAUGACGGUACCACUUGAAUAGCACCGGCUAACUCCGUGCCAGCAGCCGCGGUAAUACGGAGGGUGCAAGCGUUAUCCGGAAUCACUGGGCGUAAAGGGCGCGUAGGCGGUCUGUUAGUUCCGAUGUUAAAUCCCGGGGCUCAGCCCCGGAUAAGCGUUGGAUACUGGCAGGCUAGACGGUUGGAGAGGCGAGUGGGAUUACCGGUGUAGCGGUGGAAUGCGUAGAUACUGGGAGGAAAACCAAUUGCGAAGGCGGCUCGCUGGACAACCCGUGACGCUGAGGCGCGAAAGUGUGGGGAACAAACC